rnacentral:rRNA from 1 species
GAUGAACGCUGGCGGCGUGCCUAAUACAUGCAAGUCGAGCGAACAGAUGAGGAGCUUGCUCCUCUGACGUUAGCGGCGGACGGGUGAGUAACACGUGGAUAACCUACCUAUAAGACUGGGAUAACUACGGGAAACCGGAGCUAAUACCGGAUAAUAUAUUGAACCGCAUGGUUCAAUAGUGAAAGACGGUUUUGUUGUCACUUAUAGAUGGAUCCGCGCCGCAUUAGCUAGUUGGUAAGGUAACGGCUUACCAAGGCAACGAUGCGUAGCCGACCUGAGAGGGUGAUCGGCCACACUGGAACUGAGACACGGUCCAGACUCCUACGGGAGGCAGCAGUAGGGAAUCUUCCGCAAUGGGCGAAAGCCUGACGGAGCAACGCCGCGUGAGUGAUGAAGGUCUUCGGAUCGUAAAACUCUGUUAUUAGGGAAGAACAAAUGUGUAAGUAACUAUGCACGUCUUGACGGUACCUAAUCAGAAAGCCACGGCUAACUACGUG